rnacentral:misc_RNA from 1 species
AAAAAAAAUACUUUGAUAAUUAAACAUGUAUCAGAUAUAAACAUAAUUAGAUAAAUGAAAUAUUUUAUACAAUCUGGUUUUGAUGUCUUAAACCGAAUCAAAUGAAUUAUAUAUCAAAAGUUCAUACUUUUUUUAUUUUCAAAUAAAACCAAAUAAUUUAGAGGGUAAAUCAAAUUAAACUCUUAAAAUUAAUUUGAUUUUAUUUUUUGGAUUCGUAAUCUAAAUCAAAUAGUGGACUUAUGUAACAUUAGAGGGAAAGAGAUAGACCUUUUUGUCCAGAUAUUGUUCCUCCGGUUGUCCCAUGCUUUGAAGUUUC